CAGAAAGGGACAGAGACGGCGAAGUUUGACGGUCUGGAAAGCAGAGACCAGCAGGGCUGACUGCUUGGGAGCGCCUCUCGGGAGGUCCGAGAAGAGAACCGCGAUCUGUUUCAGCACCGGGGCUCAGGACAGUUCCCAGCGGGCUCCGUUUCGUCUCCAGAACCCUGGACAGCUCCUCCAGUAGAGACGGGGUUUCACCAUGUUGGCCAGGCUGGUCUCAAACUCUUGACCUCUUCAUCCGUCCACCUCAGCCUCCCAAAGUGCUAGGAUUACAGGCGUGAGUCACUGCGCCUGGCCCAAGUCCGGAAUUUUCAACAGGACAUGGGUGUUACUGUGCCCAUGUGACAUUUGGGGAACCCAAGGCCCUGAGAAAGGCAGAAAAAUAACCCACGCAGGGACUCUCAGCCCACAAGUGAAGCUAUCAGACCCUGCUUCUCUCCAGGAGAACCGGGAAUGGAAAACAGGGAGGCAGCACAGAGGCAGGAAACUCAGGUGUCAUAGCUUGGCUCAGCUUGGAAUGCACUCCCUCCACCUCCAACCAGAGCUCCCCACAACUGACCCUGCCUUCUUCUGCAAGCUCCAUUUCAUCAAGGGAAACGAUCCUUAUUGCCUCACCAUUUCCCACGUGAAGUCUGUAUUGACAUUCUCAUAGACCUGGGAUAUUGUGUCUGCAGCACAUAGUCCAAUUAUUUUCAUGUUAUCUACUGACAGGUCUAUUUGUCUCCCUGUUACACUGUGAGCUCCGUGAGGGCAGAAACAAUGUUAGUAUUUUCACUGCUGUGUCCCCAGCGCCUGGUCCGGGGCCCGGCACACAGCAGGCAUAUAAUAAGCAUGUGUUGAAUCAAUAAAGGCAUCAAAGAAUAAA
rnacentral:lncRNA from 1 species